AUGCAUAGCAGAAUGUAUUUUGAGGUAUUUUGUUACACACUGACAAUUUCUCUCAUAUUUGUUUUGAGGAAAAUUGUGUCAACAUGUUAUUUGGCAUGCAUGUAUAUUUUAUUAAACAUUCAUAAACUCUUUUUUCAUAGAUGUUGGAACACACUAAUUCCAUGCAAAACAUUUUUAUCCAUUGAAAUAUAUCUUAUAUCUUAUCUAUAUCUAUUUUUUUGUGGAGUGGUAUCUUAUCUGUAUCUACUAAUAAAGACAAAACUGAUUGUGUCCGUCCAUCAGAAAUUUUGCAAAAAAAAAAAACAUGAGAAUUCGUAG
rnacentral:rRNA from 1 species